rnacentral:lncRNA from 1 species
AUUUUUUAAAAGCUGUUCCCAUAUGAAGGUUGAGGUGGACCUUUGGUUGAGAAUUAAAAACUAGUGUUUAUAACAAAGAGGUAAACAUCGAAAAGUGAGCACAGAAUCCUAAAGUCCUCACAUGCCAGGAAGAAAGCGAAAGCAAUUCAGACAGGGACAGCUCCCGGCUCCCGACCAAGCAAUAAUAUUGUAAUGAUCAAGGGGAGCAUGUGGUUUUUUUUAAGUAUUUCCUGAGAGUACAUCUGAACAAAUCUCAUUUGAGUGACUGUAGAUCUCACUGAGUGUUCAGAAGGUUGAUUCCUUCAGCUCUGUGUCAUUUGCAACAACAACAAAAAAACCAUCAUCUAUAUAUCUUCUCCAUCAGUAGAAAAUCCGUCUUCAAUAGAACUUUGUGCAAGACAACCACCAUGAUGCUCAUAAACAACAAGACAAUGGACAUAGUGGUAGCAUAGGUUUUUAUACUUCUCAGACAACUGUUGGAUGGGAUGUUUUUGGAGGAUUUAUGA